CAAUCUGGAGAAGUCAUCCAUGCACUUUAUUAGCAUGCAGGUAAAUCACCAAAAUGCAUUUAUUGUGAACUAUUGUUUAUCACCUGCAGAGCGUUACCCAACGUGUCUGCUGGACUGGCCAUGGCUGCCAAGAUGGCCGUGGUGGUGGUGCCAAUGUUGGAACCAAGAGACAACGGAUAGGCUCUCUCAAUGCUGAUGACGCCAAUACCUACAGGGUUCUGGUCGGCGGACGGACAAAUGAGUGAUCUCACCAACAAGCGGAGUGAUAGCGGAGGUAAAAACAGAGCUGCUCUGCACAAUGAAGGUCAUUCCAGCUCCGACUAAAAUGGCAAUGUAUCCUGUGACCCAACCGAAAGGGAACGGGAAAUCUGCACACACGUGUUAGCAUAGAACACCUUAAGCACUCAAAUGCAAUGCGUUGCCUUGUCCAAGGUUAAACAAGCCUUGUGCAUCCACUCACUUGUGUUAAGUAUUUUCUUGAUAAUCAUGGCCACUUGACCCUUAAGCAUGGAGUUGAGCAACUUGACUAUAAGCAGCAGGCAGGAGCACAACACCAGCAAAGAGAGAGCCAGGAGGAUCAGACCCACAGCCAGAUCGGACAAGUUCACGUUUACAAAAAGGUGAUCACCUGACAAGACACACACAGUCACCGUGUCAAGUACGCUCAUAGAUGAAAUUCCUUUAUGUCGUGUCAUGCUCACAUUUUUUAAUGUUGUACGUCUGUGAGAUGUUUUUGAGUGUGAAAGUGUAGUUGCCGUCAGUCCAGCACAUUGAAGGAGAGGUGCAGUUCUCUGGACCGGGAACAGUGACAUUUACGGUGCUCUGAAAAGUCAGCCAAAGUUUUUAAGAAUCAAUCGUAUACAGGGUGUCCCACAAGUCACAAUAUGCUUCCCUUUUUCUAUUUCAUGAUCAUUUGGACCGACACGACGUGAGGCUACCUGUAUUUGACAGCUCAGGCUUUGUCGUUUUAAUAAGCAUAGGUAUCCCCUUAUAUAUAAAUAGAAAAAAAGGAAGUGUAUAGAGA